CAGCGCCGUGAGCGUACGCGGGGUGCGCGCGGAGUGUGUGCGUGGUGUGCGUGCGGCGUGCGUGCGGCGUGCGCGCGGAGUGUGUGCGUGGUGUGCGCGCAGUGUGCGCAUGGUGUGCGUGCGGUGUGCGCGUGCGCGGAGUCUGUGCGGUGUGAGUAUGGUGUGCGUGCAGAGUGCGCGGCGUGCGCGCGGAGUGUGUGCGUGGUGUGCGUGCAGAGUGCGUGGUGUGCGUGCGGAGUGCGUGCGGAGUGCGUGCGGAGUGCGUGGUGUGCGCGCGGAGUGCGUGCGGUGUGCGUGCAGUGUGCGUGGUGUGCGCGCGGAGUGCGUGGUGUGCUAGUGGAGUGCGUGCGGUGUGCGUGUGGAGUGCGCGGUGUGCGCGCGGAGUGCGUGGUGUGCGUGCGGAGUGUGCGGUGUGCGCGCGGAGUGCGUGCGGUGUGCGUGGUGUGCGUGCGGCGUGCGCGGUGCGGUGCGCGUGCGCGGGUGAAUGCGCCGCGUGGACGUGGGGCUCGCCGAGAGGCGCGACCGCCGGCUCCCGGGCCCUCCGGGGAGGAGCGGCUUGGGGGCCNNNNNNNNNNNNNNNNNNNNNNNNNNNNNNNNNNNNNNNNNNNNNNNNNNNGCCCUGAGGCGGCGGCAUCACGGGGAGCGAAGAGGCCGCGGCCGAGGGCGGCCCCCGACGGACUCUGCACCCCGAAAGCCGGACUCCAGGGGCCUGCGUCCCGGGGACGCGCGGCCGGAAGGGCUCUCAGCGGAGAGGCUGAGCCGGGCCUCGGGAGGGCCUUGUGUGCUCAGCGGGCCGCCGGCGACCGGGUGUGGGGGCUGGGCGACGGAGUGGGGGAGGGGAGUGGGAGAGGGCGCGACCGGGUGGGGGAGGAGGCGACGGAGAGAGGGAGGGGCGCGUCCGAGGGGCGGAGGGGCCGACCGAGGGGUCAGAGCUGCCGCAGGUCCACGUGCUCCGGCCCGGGGACAACGUGCUGGACAGCUGGACACCGCACAGACUCCGCGCACGCGCACACCUCACGCACACCAUGCGCACACUGCGCGCACACCACGCACACACUGCGGACCCCAACGGCCCUGAAGGGAAGCGGCCCGAGGGAGGCGACCUGCGAUGGCCGAGGAGGAGGGCAGAGAGCAGAGGAGCUGCUAGAAGCAAGCAAGGCCCCGGACCGAGGCCAAGGGAAGCCUACAGAGGUCAGAGGGGCGACGAAGACCCCAGGCUCGAGCGUCACAAGUCAGAGGAAGAGAGACUUUCAAGGGGGCUCCCUUUGGCCCAGGGCGUGA
rnacentral:lncRNA from 1 species